UAGCUCAGUCAGUAAAGCAUCUGCCUGCGAUGCAGGAGGCCUGGGUUCAAUUCCUAG
rnacentral:tRNA from 1 species